UCUAUCAACUGCAGACCAAGCAGAGGGAGAGGCAGGCAGACCUGGAGCAGAGAUGCAGCCGGAUCCAGCAGCUCAGCCUGGACCUGGAGGCCGGCGCCAGGUGCUGGAGGAGGCGCGAGAGCAGGUUCGCAGACUGAGGCAGCAAAGGGCCAUCUAGCCUCAUCUAUACCUGCAGUCCAGAAAAUUUUGCUAUGUUGCCCCCCCCUGUCAAUGACUUCCUUGACAAAGGCAGCUCCAGAAAGGCAUUCGGACAGAUUUGAAGACACCUGGAAAGGCUUGGGAGGGACCGCCGGCACGUGCCCAGAGAGCUGCUGCGUUUGCUCGGAUUUGCUUCUAGGGAAGGUGCGAGGCCACAUGAGGAUGAAGGCUGGGUAAAAAUACCAACAGCUGCUGUGACACAGCAGCCUCUCAGCUGCCAGAGGAGUUCACCAUCAACUGUGCUGCUUUCCUGCUCCCG